AAAUUGAAGAGUUUGAUCAUGGCUCAGAUUGAACGCUGGCGGCAGGCCUAACACAUGCAAGUCGAACGGUAACAGGAAGCAGCUUGCUGCUUUGCUGACGAGUGGCGGACGGGUGAGUAAUGUCUGGGAAACUGCCUGAUGGAGGGGGAUAACUACUGGAAACGGUGGCUAAUACCGCAUAACGUCGCAAGACCAAAGAGGGGGACCUUCGGGCCUCUUGCCAUCAGAUGUGCCCAGAUGGGAUUAGCUUGUUGGUGAGGUAACGGCUCACCAAGGCGACGAUCCCUAGCUGGUCUGAGAGGAUGACCAGCCACACUGGAACUGAGACACGGUCCAGACUCCUACGGGAGGCAGCAGUGGGGAAUAUUGCACAAUGGGCGCAAGCCUGAUGCAGCCAUGCCGCGUGUAUGAAGAAGGCCUUCGGGUUGUAAAGUACUUUCAGCGGGGAGGAAGGUGUUGUGGUUAAUAACCGCAGCAAUUGACGUUACCCGCAGAAGAAGCACCGGCUAACUCCGUGCCAGCAGCCGCGGUAAUACGGAGGGUGCAAGCGUUAAUCGGAAUUACUGGGCGUAAAGCGCACGCAGGCGGUCUGUCAAGUCGGAUGUGAAAUCCCCGGGCUCAACCUGGGAACUGCAUUCGAAACUGGCAGGCUUGAGUCUUGUAGAGGGGGGUAGAAUUCCAGGUGUAGCGGUGAAAUGCGUAGAGAUCUGGAGGAAUACCGGUGGCGAAGGCGGCCCCCUGGACAAAGACUGACGCUCAGGUGCGAAAGCGUGGGGAGCAAACAGGAUUAGAUACCCUGGUAGUCCACGCCGUAAACGAUGUCUACUUGGAGGUUGUGCCCUUGAGGCGUGGCUUCCGGAGCUAACGCGUUAAGUAGACCGCCUGGGGAGUACGGCCGCAAGGUUAAAACUCAAAUGAAUUGACGGGGGCCCGCACAAGCGGUGGAGCAUGUGGUUUAAUUCGAUGCAACGCGAAGAACCUUACCUGGUCUUGACAUCCACGGAAGUUUUCAGAGAUGAGAAUGUGCCUUCGGGAACCGUGAGACAGGUGCUGCAUGGCUGUCGUCAGCUCGUGUUGUGAAAUGUUGGGUUAAGUCCCGCAACGAGCGCAACCCUUAUCCUUUGUUGCCAGCGGUCCGGCCGGGAACUCAAAGGAGACUGCCAGUGAUAAACUGGAGGAAGGUGGGGAUGACGUCAAGUCAUCAUGGCCCUUACGACCAGGGCUACACACGUGCUACAAUGGCGCAUACAAAGAGAAGCGACCUCGCGAGAGCAAGCGGACCUCAUAAAGUGCGUCGUAGUCCGGAUUGGAGUCUGCAACUCGACUCCAUGAAGUCGGAAUCGCUAGUAAUCGUGGAUCAGAAUGCCACGGUGAAUACGUUCCCGGGCCUUGUACACACCGCCCGUCACACCAUGGGAGUGGGUUGCAAAAGAAGUAGGUAGCUUAACCUUCGGGAGGGCGCUUACCACUUUGUGAUUCAUGACUGGGGUGAAGUCGUAACAAGGUAACCGUAGGGGAACCUGCGGUUGGA
rnacentral:rRNA from 6 species